rnacentral:lncRNA from 1 species
AAACAGCACCUUAUUUUGUUCCUUGACAAAAAUUCUAUGAUCAUAUUGAUCAUGUUCUUUUCAGGCUGUUUUCCCAUGUAAAGUCAUGUUAGUUCAUGUAAGCCCCAUGUUCUUUGCUAGUAAGGUCUUCUGACUGUAUUUUGUGAGCUUUGAGGCCUGGCCUCAGAAUCCUUUGUUGCAAGUCUGUACACUGGAUGUACAGCAAAGUUUCCACUCCCAGCAAGCACAGGUCUCUACAGGUGAGAGAGUCAAGUCUUAGAAUCAAUGAAAUUUUUUCUCUUGAGUUAGACAGUUUUCAUUUUCAGUUAGGUUGAAGGCUUUGAUAGAACUAAUAUUUUUCAUGUAGUUUUCAGUUUAUGCAUGAAAACAUGACAGCUUAUUCAGUGUUGCUGUGAUACUUGUACAUUUUAGCUUAAGACUAUAAUUACCCUUUAUUCAUCCAAGAAUAUUUUAUAUGUUUUCUUGUGUCAGACUGAAGAGGCAGUGGUUCUUGCAACUAAAACUAA